UAAUUUAAAUUUUUCUGUUACUUUUUUCUUCAGAAAAUAUUAUUUUCAUAUACUUUUCUAAUUUUAUUAAAUUAUAACAAUUUACACAUAUUAAAGGUAUUAAUACUUAUUAAGGCAUGAUUGAGGAACAUCUUAUUCAGGACCUUCAAAAUAACCAUAGAAGCAGGAUGUGGUGGUGCAUGCCUCUAAUUUCAGCACUUGGGAGACAGAGGCAGAUGGACCAGCCCAAUAUACAUAGCAAGUUCCAGGCCAAUCAAGGCCACAUGAUGAGACACUGUCCACCUCCCCAAAAGGUAAAUAUAAAUUUUAAUACAAACAUUGGAGACACUGUAAUAGAUUGAGCGCUGAUCUUUUCAUGACAACAGGGAAUUUAUCACUUCAGAGAAGUGUGGGAAGCAAUGGGUGGAGGAUUACUCAGAAGAAACAUCCAUAAUAAAGCAUUCAGCUAAAUCAGUCUAACAGGAUUCUCAAUGAAGACAAGCCAGGGUGAUCUAACAACAUCUGGGACUUGGUAGAUGAUGGGGAACCUGUCCAAAUAUGGAACAUGAGGCAAUUCUGACGAAUCUGACAGACUCUUUGCUAAAACAGAAGUUUAUAAGGAAUGCAUAGAAGGACACAGUGGGUUCAGAUAUGUCUUUGUCAUCUCUUACAAGGAUUUGCAAAAUUGGUAUACAGUGGUAAUAGAUUUUACAAAACAUAAAAUCUUUUCUCUUUGUAUAACUUUGCAGCACCUCAUAUGACAAGGGGUGGGGGGGGCGUUAAUACCAUGACUGACUCUUUACCCUUCUGUCUGUAGCGCUCUACAACUAUAGUAAGAGUUAACCCUUUCACAUUUCUUAACAUUAAUUUCCAUAAGAAAUCAUACACAUUGAUGUGAAACACAGGCCCUGCUUCAAAGAGAAUACAGUUUAUUCUAAGCCAUAUACAAGUGACCAUAGCCCCAGAACAAUUUGAGUUAUCUCACAUGACAUGAUCUUUUGUAGAAGUGAUUACAAACUCUUGGAAUUAUGUACCAAGUGAUAGACAUAAAUCAAUGUAAUUACCAGACAUUUUGGUGGGGGACUUGGUAGGUGGUUAGAGUAAAGUGGGAAAAUCUCCAAGUCUCAGAUGUCUUCUGAUAACAUCCUCAGCUUUCAGGUUUGUGGAAGCUAGUAGUCAGCUGACAUAUUAAUAUAAUCUCAUAGGCUUAGUUAUGCAAGGUCUGUUGGAUGUAGUGGAUGGUGAUAAAUGGCUAUUAAGGAAACUAAAGACAGCCCAAGAUAAAACAUUCCUUCUUCCCACAAUCUUGAAGUUCUGAUUAGUUCAUGGAAUCUUCUAGGUAGGUAUUGCAUUUUUCAGCACACAUCUGGUCAUACAUAUACUCUUACUCCUUAUAGAAUAUUUUAUUAGAAACAAGCCUCUUUUACAUGUCAAUCCCACAUCCCUCUCCCUCGCCUCCUCCCCUCCUUCCCUGCCCCCGACUCCCCUUUCUGCUCCCCAGUGAGGGUGAGGCCUUCCAUGGGACAUCUUCAAAAUCUGUCACAUCAUUUGGCCUUAUAGAAUUAUACUUAGUAUUUUCCCUUACACACAGUAGAAACAUGACAGACAUCUGUUGAAUUUAGUAGUAGAUAAGUAAUUUUUAAUGUACUUUCAGUCUCUUAAACAUAAAAACCUUGUUGCCACUGUUCAAACAUGAAUAUACUUAAAUGUCAUUUGCAAGGAGACUUAUUGGUUUGUUUUAACAGAAAUUGCUCAGUAUCUAAAAAACUAUUAAACUUUUGUAAUAAAUAAGUGAAAAGAAAUUCUCAACAUUUUUCAAAAAUCUACUUACAAAUCAGAAUUAAUUACAUUAAGAGGUCUGUACUCAUUGUAGAGAAAAAGGAGAUGAAAACAAUGUUAACUUAUAUUUAUGCUAUUUUUAAGGACACAUAGAGCUGAACAUAUCUCACUAUUUCUUACAUCACCACAUGUUUGAACUUCAUUUUGUCUAAAAACAAGCCAAGUAGUUUAAAUAAUUUGUUUCCAAAUUCAUUUAAUUGCUAUUGAACAUUCACUAUGUGAAUAAUCCAAUGAUGGGGAACUUUUAGAUAAAGAUUGCACAAAUAUAUAAAUGAAGUUGGUAUUAUAAGAGAUAAUAGCUCAAUAAACAUAGAACUAAGGGGUAUAGGAGGCAAAGAUCACGUGUCAUUUGUCAAUCAGAAGAGCUUCAGGAAAGAGCAAUUGGGAUUUCACCAUGGUGAAGAUUGGCCUCUGAGGAAUGGCAUCUCAGGCAGUUGCCACAACAUAAACGAGGACCUGUGAGAGCAGGCACAGAAGGUAUAAGCAGAGAGCAAACCAGUCAACCAGCCAUUUUUCUUAGCUGGAUCAUCAUGGCAUACCUGCAGGAAAACACAGGGAUAAAUGUGUAAAGAAACAUCAAUUCCCUUUCCAUGGCUAUAAGUGGUGUUCCUAAGCUGGGCCAGUUUUGUGAUCAGAGGCUAAAAUGUAAGUCACUCCAUGUAGGAGUGGAGUUGGCAGAUAAGCUAGCCAAGGUAUACUUGGAUGUGUAAAUAGAGGCGGUGCAAACAGUGAUCUACUUGGACAGAUAAGGGAUCUAUUCACCUACUGUUGAGUUACCCUUCGAUAGUUUCUCAGACUCUUAAGAUAAGAGUGAAUUCUGGAGUAAGACUGUUAUGUCAAAUACCUGUACCAACCCUUUCUAUGCUAAGGAACUGAUUCAAGAUUCAACAGAACCAGGGGACUGAGGAUAUGCUGAUCAAGAGCUGCUGUGAGGAUAAAAAGUCAAUAUCGAUGGAAGAGGUUCAGCACAGACUCUUAACAUGCUUUAAGAAGAUGUAAGGCAAAACCAGAAAACUCCCAAGUCACAGCCUACCCUGGUGUACGGAGCUAACAACUGAAUCAAGAACAAUGUGAUCUCAAUAAGUUUAUGGCAAGAAUCAAUGCCCCAGUCUGACCUCCACGUGAGCAUUCUUUUGUACAAGUACCAGAACUCAGAAACAAUUCACACACACUCACCAUACAAACAUGCUCCCAGAGAUUUUAAAAGAAAAAUUGUGUAUCUGAAUAAUCAGUCUUGACUCAUUAUUAAAAUGAUUCUAUUUCCA